GGGGGGGGGGGGGGGGGGGCUGUGGGGGGGGAAGUCGAGCGGCCGCGGAGGCGGCGGCCUGGCGGCGUGUGGCGAACGGGUUGGUAAUGCAUCGGGACGUGCCCUGUGGUGGGGGCUUGGCCGGCGAAGUCCGGCUUCAUGCCGCCUACGGCCUGGGGGUGAAAGCGGGGGACCGAGAAGCCUCGCUCUAUUGGAGCUGCCGAUGUCGGGUUAGCUAGUUGGUGGGGUAAAGGCUUACCAAGGCGACGCUCCGUAGCUGGUCUGAGAGGACGACCAGCCACACUGGGACUGAGACACGGCCCAGACUCCUACGGGAGGCAGCAGUGGGGAAUUUUGGACAAAGGGGGCAACCCUGAUCCAGCCAUGCCGCGUGCGGGAAGAAGGCCUUCGGGUUGUAAACCGCUUUUGUUCGGGAAGAAAUCCUCUGGGCUAAUACCCCGGGGGGAUGACGGUACCGGAAGAAUAAGCACCGGCUAACUACGUG
rnacentral:rRNA from 1 species